rnacentral:rRNA from 1 species
AUAUCAAUAAGCGGAGGAAAAGAAACCAACAGGGAUUGCCCCAGUAACGGCGAGUGAAGCGGCAACAGCUCAAAUUUGAAAUCUGGCACCCUACGUGGUCCGAGUUGUAAUUUGUAGAGGAUGCUUUUGGUGCAAGGUGCCUUCCCGAGUUCCCUGGAACGGGACGCCAUAGAGGGUGAGAGCCCCGUCUGGCUCGGCAUACCGCAGCCUCUGUAAAGCUCCUUCGACGAGUCGAGUAGUUUGGGAAUGCUGCUCAAAAUGGGAGGUAUAUGUCUUCUAAAGCUAAAUAUUGGCCAGAGACCGAUAGCGCACAAGUAGAGUGAUCGAAAGAUGAAAAGCACCUUUGAAAAGAGGGUUAAAACAGUAC